ACUAGUCACUCCCUCCUAACUGUGUCACCUGCUCCCUCACUCUGUCACUAGUCACCCCUCCCUCACUCUGUCACUAAUCACCCCCUCUGUCCUUAGUGAGAGAGGGGGUGACUAGUGAGAGUGAGGAAGGGGGUGACAUAGUGAGGGAGGGGGUGACUAGUGACAUAGUGAGGGACGGGGUAACACAGUGACAGAGUUAGGGAGGGAGUGACAAGUGACAGAGAGAGGGAUGGGGUGACUAGUGACAGUCACCCCCUCUCUCACUCUGUCACUAGUCACCCCCUCUCUCACUCUGUCACUAGUCACACCCUCUCUCACUCUGUCACUAGUCACACCCUCUCUCACUCUGUCACCAGUCAUCCCUUCCUUCCCUCACUCUGCCACUAGUCAUCCCUUCCCUCACUCUG